UUCUCUCCACGAGAGUUUCCCGAUUAAAAUUGCACAAGCAACCUUUUCAUUAGACGAGGCAAUCGGAUGGAUCGAAUUAGGUUUGGAUCAAGUUAUUUUAGGUUAUGAUCUUUUUUAAUUUGGAUUAUUGUUAGUUAUUUUUUUAGAUUUUAUAAAAAAUAUGAUUGUUUCAACAUAUUUUGUGUUUUAAGUUUAGCUUAGGUUUGGAUAUUUUGAAUUUAAAUUUUUUUGAGUUUGAAUUAUUUCAAUUUUGAAUAUUUUUAAAUUUUAAAUUUUUAUUUUUUAUUAAAUAGAAUUCGGAUAAAUUUUUAACUUCGAAUUCAUUCUGUCAACUCUAUUUUCACACAUUUUAUUUCUCUAAAAGGAUUAUAUAUAUAUAUAUAUAUAUUUGUAUAUGAAAUCCAUUUUUGGUGUCCUUGGCUGAUCUUAUGUUUUCUUGCCAUGAAAGAUAAUGCAUUAAUAUCAAACACAACAAAGGCGAAGAAAACAAGAAGCAGCCGAGGUCGUCAACGAAUUGAAAUCAAGAAACUGGAAGAUCACGAAAGCAAACGUCAAAAAAGCUGAAAAGCUUUCCACAUUGAGCGGAGCAGAAGUUGUUAUCCUCACAUAAUCAAAAUCUGGAAGACCAUACAUCAAAGAAAAGGUGGAAGCAGUUCUUGAUCGAUGUCUACCCAUCUGAUCAGGAUAAUGAUUCGUUGAUAAAGCUGAAACAAGUUGAAGACAUUAAGUUGAUCAUAAAAAGAUCAGUCUGGGUUUGGAUUGGAUCUAGCUCCCUGUCACAUGACUUAAGACCAAAUCUCAAGUUUAUCUGAAACAUUUUUAUCUUAAGGAAUAUCUGUAUUGUUUCAACAAAUUUUAAAAUAUUCAAUAUAAAAAUACCACUAGCUAAUUGUCUAUUACCAAAUGAAAAUCAAAUCAAUUUUAAGUUUCAUGUUUGUGGAGUGAUCAGAAGAACUGAUUGAGUCUAAUUUUGCCAUUUUGGCCUUGAUCCAAUAUAGUAUAUCCAAUUGGAAUAGGUCCAUCAUUCUCAUAAAUAGUGUUUAUAUUUCAAUUUUGUCCUCUUCAAUGGGUCCAAAAAAGAAAAGUUUGAAAAUUUUCACAUAUUUACCGAGUUGGCAUUAAUUAUAAUUUGAUUGGAUAUUGAUCAAUUAAUUAUUUAAUUUUAGUUUUUGAGUCUAAUGGUCAGGAGUCCUUGUUAUUAAGUUAGGGAGGAUCAUCCACAUGAGCAAUUAGUGAAAUGCUAAUUAAAUGUAUUCCUCAUUUAAAAAAUUAAGGAUAUUUGAUAAAAACCAUCAAAUUUAUGUUGGUUAUACAUUCGUUCAAUGCUUAAAAUUUAACAGUCCAUAGGUCUCC
rnacentral:lncRNA from 1 species